CAGUCGCCGCGGUAAUACGUAGGGUGCAAGCGUUAAUCGGAAUUAUUGGGCGUAAAGGGCUCGCAGGCGGUCUCUUAAGUCUGAUGUGAAAGCCCCCGGCUCAACCGGGGAGGGUCAUUGGAAACUGGGAAACUUGAGUGCAGAAGAGGAGAGUGGAAUUCCACGUGUAGCGGUGAAAUGCGUAGAGAUGUGGAGGAACACCAGUGGCGAAGGCGACUCUCUGGUCUGUAACUGACGCUGAGGAGCGAAAGCGUGGGGAGCGAACAGGAUUAGAUACCCCGGUAGUCCCUGUCUCUUAUAC
rnacentral:rRNA from 1 species